rnacentral:rRNA from 1 species
GACGGACGCUGGCGGCGUGCUUAACACAUGCAAGUCGAACGGAAAGGCCCCAGCUUGCUGGGGUACUCGAGUGGCGAACGGGUGAGUAACACGUGGGUGAUCUGCCCUGCACUCUGGGAUAAGCCUGGGAAACUGGGUCUAAUACCGGAUAGGACCGUGCUUUAGCGUGUGCGGUGGAAAGUUUUUCGGUGCAGGAUGAGCCCGCGGCCUAUCAGCUUGUUGGUGGGGUAAUGGCCUACCAAGGCGGCGACGGGUAGCCGGCCUGAGAGGGUGUACGGCCACAUUGGGAAUGAGACACGGCCCAGACUCCUACGGGAGGCAGCAGUGGGGAAUAUUGCACAAUGGGCGCAAGCCUGAUGCAGCGACGCCGCGUGGGGGAUGACGGCCUUCGGGUUGUAAACCCCUUUCGGCAGGGACGAAGCUUUUGUGACGGUACCUGCAUAAGAAGCACCGGCUAACUACGUG